CACAAGAGGGAAUCUAGAGAGGGAUGGAGAACACCAGGAGGCACAAAAAGGGAAGGGGCUGACGCAGACCAUGACAGCCCUAUUCUUAUCUACACUCUUUUUUUAAACUCCAAAGUCUUAAAACAAUAUAGUAAUUCUACUUUUAUUUAUUGUUUUCAUAACAGAAUAGAACUGUUAUGAAAACUUUGUCAGGCUGACAAAGUUUGCAGCCGCAAACAAAACGUUGCAGGUAAAUAAAACCCUUCUAUGUUUUAAAAAGAGCUAAAAGAUGGAAUUGUUGUUUUAUCCUUGUUCACAGACUGGGAUCCUAAAGGGAAUUUCCAUCCUACUUGUGUGGCUGAAUGACAUCUUCAACCAAUUUUGGUACAUUUGCCAGAAAGCACAACAUCGUGAUAUGUUUAAUGACAUGUGGGUGGGUGUGCUUCACCAUGUCACAGGGAAGCAUGAAUGGACCCGUGGCAAAUGUGACCAUGGACCACUUGAUGCAACGACCAGUGAUAAAGAGCUCAUGGUGCCAUGAUCUCCACCAUACGAGGCUCUUCAACGAAUCAUGUUCAACAGACGCUGGUUGAAGGAUGUCACCAAUCUGACCUUUAGGCCCCAGCUACGUGAAGCAUCAAAAGACAGGAAUGACUUCUUUCAUGCACACAGAUUUAUUUGAAAUUAAGAAAAAAUACUAUGUACAAAUGCAAAUAACAGAACUUUUU